GCCGGGAGGGCGGCGAAUACAACACCCGCAAGGGGAAUAAGCCCGCCGGCUGUGUGCGGUUUCUAGCCUCCCGGCAUCCCGCU
rnacentral:ncRNA from 22 species